rnacentral:rRNA from 1 species
UUCACUCCUUACGGGGGAGACAGUCAUGAGACGUGAGUAUAAGACCUGAGUGUAAAGACCUUAGGGUGAAGCAAUUGGAGGGCAAGCUUUGGUGCCAGCAGCCGCGGUAACUCCAACUCCAAGAGUGUCUAUGGUGGAUGCUGCAGUUAAAGGGUCCGUAGUCGUGAAUGCAAUUAAAUGUCGUUGUUCAAUAGCGAUGAGUUUGCUAAUGUUUGCGGAACGGAUAGGGAGUGUAGUAUAGACUGGCGAAGAAUGAAAUCUCAAGACCCAGUUUGGACUAACGGAGGCGAAGGCGACACUCUUAGACGUAUCUUAGGAUCAAGGACGAAGGCAGGAGUAUCGAAAGUGAUUAGACACCGCUGUAGUUCCUGCAGUAAACUAUGCCGACAGCCUGUGUGUGAGAAUACGUGGGCGGGAGAAAUCUUAGUGUUCGGGCUCUGGGGAUAGUACGCUCGCAAGGGUGAAACUUAAAGCGAAAUUGACGGAAGGACACUACCAGGAGUGGAUUGUGCUGCUUAAUUUAACUCAACGCGGGAAAACUUACCAGGGUCAAGUCAUUCGUUGAUCGAAUACGUGAGAAUGGCA